CCACUUAUCAACACACAUAGGGGGUACUGCCUGCCCAGUGUAUCAUUAAACGGCCGCGGUAUCCUGACCGUGCAAAGGUAGCACAAUCAUUAGUCUCCUAAAUAGGGACCAGUAUCAACGGCAAGACGAGGGCCUGACUGUCUCUUCUCUUACACACCAAACUUCUCUAGUCGUGCAAAAGCGACCAUAACAGCGUAAGACGAGAAGACCCUAUCGAGCUUAAGGGGCGAAAGCACAAAACACGCCUAACUGCUGACACAUGUCACACAAUCCAUCCCUUUGUUCCCUCCUUAGCUCCUUUGGUUGGGGCAACCGCGGAGGAAAAACAUCCUCCGCAUUGACCUUAUUUAAGAUUCUAAUCAAAAUUAUACUAUUUAACAAACUAUGAUCCAGCUCCCCUGAUCAAUAAACUAAGUUACCGUAGGGAUAACAGCGUAAUCCCUUCCAAGAGCCCACAUUGCCGAAGGGGUUUGCGACCUCGAUGUUGGAUCGGGUCAUCCUGAUGGUGCAGCCGCUAUCAAGGGUUGGUCUGUUCGACCAUUAAAGACCUACGUGAUCUGAGUUCAGACCAGGA
rnacentral:rRNA from 1 species